GUGUCUAAAGUGUUCCACAGGGAUGCUGGUCCAUGUUGACUCUACAAGGUGUCUAAAGCGUUCCACAGGGAUGCUGGCCCAUGUUGACUCCACAAGGUGUUGAAAGCGUUCCACAGGGAUGCUGGUCCAUGUUGACUCUACAAGGUGUCUAAAGCGUUCCACAGGGAUGCUGGUCCAUGUUGACUCUACAAGGUGUCUAAAGUGUUCCACAGGGAUGCUGGCCCAUGUUGACUCUACAAGGUGUCUAAAGCGUUCCACAGGGAUGCUGGUCCAUGUUGACUCCACAAGGUGUCUAAAGCGUUCCACAGGGAUGCUGGUCCAUGUUGACUCCACAAGGUGUCUAAAGCGUUCCACAGGGAUGCUGGCCCAUGUUGACUCCACAAGGUGUCUAAAGCGUUCCACAGGGAUGCUGGCCCAUGUUGACUCCACAAGGUGUCUAAAGUGUUCCACAGGGAUGCUGGUCCAUGUUGACUCCACAGGGAUGCUGGUCCAUGUUGACUCCACAGGGAUGCUGGUCCAUGUUGACUCC